rnacentral:rRNA from 1 species
UCCGUAGGUGAACCUGCGGAAGGAUCAUUAUCAGGUGGAGCAGGCCUCGCGCUUGCACCUCCCUCCCUUUGCAUACCGUACGCCGUUGCUCGAGCCGGUGGCCCCCGGGCCCCCGGCGAGAGACCACAACCAUCUUGUUCCUGAUCGUCUGAGUAACCACAUACAAUAGAAUAAAACUUUCAACAACGGAUCUCUUGGUUCCGGCAUCGAUGAAGAACGCAGCGAAAUGCGAUAACUAGUGUGAAUUGCAGAUUUACGUGAAUCAUCGAGUCUUUGAACGCACAUUGCGCUCCUUGGUUUUCCAGGGAGCAUGUCUAUCCGAGCGUCGUUGCAACUCUCAAGCCCAGCUUGGUCCUGGAGGGCGUCCCGUUCCGCGGGGCCCUCCCAACCGACCAACUCACGUCGUGCCCAUUCGGUCGGAGCGCAGCAGAUUUGCAGCCCCGUCCGGCGUCGUCGCGAGCCGCCCCCGUGCGGACUUCUCAAGGUUGACCUCGGAUUAGAUAAGGAUACCCGCUGAACUUAAGCAUAUCAAUAAGCGGAGGAAGUCGACUGCCAAGGGGCACACAGGGGGGGAU